GUGUCAGCCGCCGCGGUAAUACGAGAGGCCCAAACGUUAUUCGGAUUUACUGGGCUUAAAGAGUCCGUAGGCGGCGCAGAUAGUGGGGUGUGAAAUCCCUCGGCUUAACCGAGGAAUUGCGCUCCAAACUCCUGUGCUAGAGGAAUCUAGAGGUGAGCGGAACUGAUGGUGGAGCGGUGAAAUGCGUUGAUAUCAUCAGGAACACCGGAGGCGAAGGCGGCUCACUGGGGAUUUUCUGACGCUGAGGGACGAAAGCCAGGGGAGCGAACGGGAUUAGAUACCCCUGUAGUCC
rnacentral:rRNA from 1 species